rnacentral:rRNA from 1 species
GGAGAAUCAGGGUUCGAUUCCGGAGAGGGAGCCUGAGAAACGGCUACCACAUCCAAGGAAGGCAGCAGGCGCGAAAAUUACCCAAUCCCGGCAGGGGGAGGUAGUGACGAAAAAUAACAAUACGGGACUCUUUUGAGGCUCCGUAAUUGGAAUGAGUACACUCUAAAGCCUUUAACGAGGAUCUAUUGGAAGGCAAGUCUGGUGCCAGCAGCUGCGGUAAUUCCAGCUCCAAUAGCGUAUAUUAAAAUUGCUGCGGUUAAAAAGCUCGUAGUUGAAGCCGUGGGAAUUCGAUGAAUAGUUACCUUUGCGUGGCGCCUCAUCGGUUCUUUAUCUGGGUUGACCGUUAGUCGUCCUCUUUAUUGAGGGCUUCUGGUGUUCGACAUUAUCACUCUGAUAAAAUUAGGGUGCUAAAAGCAGGCCUUGUGCUGUCAUAUCAAUGCAUGGAAUGAUGGAAGAAGUUGUCGGACCGUUUGUGGCUAGGGACUGACAAGAUGACCAAGAGAAUCGGCCGGGGGCAUUUGUAUUGCGGCGACAGAGGUGAAAUUCUUGGACCGUCGCAAGACAAACUACAGCGAAAGCAUUUGCCAAGAACGUUUUCAUUGAUCAAGAACGAAAGUUAGAGGUUCGAAGGCGAUCAGAUACCGCCCUAGUUCUAACCAUAAACGAUGCCAACUAGCAAUCCGCCUGAGUUGUUUUAUUGACUCGGCGGGCAGCUCCGGGAAACCUAAGUACGGUUCCGGGGGAAGUAUGGUUGCAAAGCUGAAACUUAAAGGAAUUGGCGGAAGGGCACCACCAGGACGUGGAGCUUGCGGCUUAAUUUGACCCAACGCGGGGAACCCUACCCGGCCCGGACACUGAUAGGAUUGACAGAUUGAGAGCUCUUUCUUGAUUCGGUGGAUAGUGGUGCAUGGCCGUUCUUAGUUGGUGGAGCGAUCUGUCUGGUUAAUUCCGAUAACGAACGAGACGCUAUCUUAUUAAAUAGAUUUCAUGUUUGCCGCACAUGAUAGUUACUUCUUAGAAGGACAAGGUGCUUUCAGCACCGCGAAACAGCGCAAUAACAGGUCUGGAAUGCCCUUAGAUGUCCGGGGCCGCACGCGCGCUACAAUGAAGAAAGAAGCGUGUAGUUUCCCUUGUUCGAGAGAGCUGGGUAACCCCUUGAAACUUCUUCAUGAUUGGGAUUGGGGCUUGCAAUUAUUCCCCUUGAACGAGGAAUUCCUCGUAAACGCUAGUCAUCAGCUAGUGUUGAUUAUGUCCCUGCCCUCUGCACACACCGCCCGUCGAUAUUACCGAUUGAAUGAUUUAGUGAGGUUUUCUGAUUGACUCUUUGAGUGGCCUGCGGUUGCGAGAGGAGUUGAGAUGACAACCAAACUUGAUCCUUUAGAGGAAAUAAAAGUCGUAACAAGGUUUCCGUAGGUGAACCUGCGGAAG